UCUCCUGGAAACGGGUGGUAAUGCCGGAUGUUCCGCAUGAGCGCAUGCGAGUGUGGGAAAGGCUUUUUGCGGCAUGGGAUGGGGUCGCGUCCUAUCAGCUUGUUGGUGGGGUAACGGCCUACCAAGGCGUUGACGGGUAGCCGGCCUGAGAGGGCGACCGGCCACAUUGGGACUGAGAUACGGCCCAGACUCCUACGGGAGGCAGCAGUGGGGAAUAUUGCACAAUGGGCGCAAGCCUGAUGCAGCGACGCCGCGUGCGGGAUGGAGGCCUUCGGGUUGUAAACCGCUUUUGUUCAAGGGCAAGGCACGGUUUCGGCCGUGUUGAGUGGAUUGUUCGAAUAAGCACCGGCUAACUACGUGCCAGCAGCCGCGGUAAUACGUAGGGUGCAAGCGUUAUCCGGAUUUAUUGGGCGUAAAGGGCUCGUAGGCGGUUCGUCGCGUCCGGUGUGAAAGUCCAUCGCUUAACGGUGGAUCCGCGCCGGGUACGGGCGGGCUUGAGUGCGGUAGGGGAGACUGGAAAUUCCCGGUGUAACGGUGGAAUGUGUA
rnacentral:rRNA from 1 species